UAUAUGUAUAUGUGCAUACAUGUAUAUAUUGCACACACACAUUCAUAUAUAUACACAUAGAUAGAGAGAAAGAAGUUUUACUUCAGUCGUGCGGUCAUAAGCACACUCUCGUUUUUUUUUUUGUGAAGUGCGGUCGAAGGCUGCCAAUGCGUAAAAGAAAUCUAAAAGUUAUGUUAAAUAGGGUAUAUCACCCUCUUUAAACCACAUUUUCUAAAACGGGCAUUGUUACAAUUAAACAAUGUACCGUUUCUUUUUGUUUGUCCGUUUUGUCAUUAUCUUCACAUUUAUCAAUUCCGCGUUUCCCCCUUUUAAACUGCAUUUUUUAUAACGGGUACUGUCACAACUAAACAAUGUACCGUUUAUUUUUCCCCCGUUUGGAAUUUGGUUUCACAUUCAUUUCAUUUGAAUUCCGCAUUGACGUCUGUAUCCAGUAUUAAAAAUUAAGGUAUAUUUAAAAUAUGAGUGCAAUUUCAUCAGGUAAAUUAACAUAAGUUUUAAAUUGAUACAAAAUAUUGCUUAAGGCAUUUAAAUAGAUUGUAUCGAGCCGUCAACCAGCCGAGGUGUGGUAAGGCGAACAAAUGUCCUCAAAGCGUCGGAAGUAAAAUCAAUUUGCAAUAUUGCAAAAUAAUCCAAUCAUUCGGUCGCAGAGAAAAAUGUAUUUCCUUCGUGGAAGAGGAAGGAGUAAUCACAAAAACAAAAAUGUGUCGCAAACAUAAAAUGCCUAACAUUAAAUAACAGUGGCACUGUUGGGGUCUUCUGAUGCCGGAAAGGUGCUUGUCGCAACCGAACUGUGUUGGACAAGCGAAGCCUGUAUUAUUUAAUGUAUGCGUAUCAGAGAGCUGCAACGAGUGUGAUAAAAUCAGAACAGUCGUGCCAAAAACACAAUCAAAUCAAUUCAGUUCAGCAUAGACAACAUUGUUAAUUAAUUCGAGUAGCCGCCAGCGUCAACUGAUCUGAUGCAACACGAACAAUCUGUUCUUCGGCAAUCACGAUCGUUUUUAUAGCAAUGGAAAAUUUUAUUUCAGAAGAUGGUAUUUGUUUCCUGUGUUUGAGUUUUUUUUUAUUUAUUUUUAUUGUUUUCAAUCGUUUGGAUAUGGUAACACUUAUUAUUUGACAACACGGAACACUUAUGUUAUUGUGCCUACUUGUUUAGUGAAAAAUAAAAUACUCAUUUUAAGCAAAUAUCUAAAUAAUUAAUAUAAAAUAAAUAUUUAGAAACAAUGUUAUGAAGUGUAAGUGUAUAAGAAGUGCAUAAUAUGAAAGAAAGAGCUACUAUAAAUCGAAAAAUUGCAAAAUAAAAUUUUAAACUUUAAACGCAAAUAUCUCGAAAACUAUAAGUUUACAGCGGCAAAUUAUAUAUAUUCUUAAUCUGGAGCAUAACCCUGAAAUAGUAUGAUGGUAUAUUAAAGUUUCCCCCGAUUCUGUGCUGUGAUACACUCACAAGUCUCUAAAUUUGAGAUAUUAAGGUAGUGACUAUUUUUGUGACUUGAGACGAUUUUGCAAAGUGACAGUCACAUAAUCUAUUACAUUUCAUUAUUCAGAGAUGUUUUUACACUUGAAUGAAAAUAAAUAUGUCAAUAACAAAUAUAAAAUUUUCUAUAACACAGUCAAAAAACAUAAUUACCAAUGAAAAUAUAAAUUUAUGUAAUAUUGAUUUAUUUUAACCCUUUUCGUGUUUGAGUUGCUUACAAAAUAUAAAAAAAUGGCAAUCGAUUAAUAUCAAUGAUGAUAUCUAUUCAGUAGAUUCAAAAUGGAAACCAGAGCUCUUUUUAGUUUUGUGACCUUUGUCAGGUCUCAAAUUUGAGAUAAUAUUUUAAGACAACAGCCCGUUCUCACUGCCGUUGGAAAGAUGAAAGAACAGCUGUUUUUGCAAUUCAAGAAUUCACAUCGCGCAAUAUUUAUCAAAAGAAAACAUUGUCAUAUAGUACUUUUUAAUAAAAGCCGUAUUCUUUUAAAUAUUUUCCAUAUAAUCGAAAUAAUGGACGCAUUUUCUCAUGUGGCAAGUCGAUUUUCAGGUGAAAUUAGAUUUAUUGCUUUAAAAAAAAUUUGUUUGUUUACAUUUUUUCCCUUUGUAGUGUCUAAAUCAGCUGUGAGAAUGUAACAUAUUUUCAAUGCGGGCAAGUAAAUGGAGCAAAAUCAGAGUCGCACAGAGAGAUUUAGUGUGGAUCAGUUUCAAACCACUUCAAUGAAGUGAUUUUGAUUUGUCAUUUUUGUAUGGCGAAAUCUUGAUAAAUUUAUAAGAUUAAUGGGAUAAGCCAUUCAACAGCCGAAAACAUGUGAUUAAGAGUCGGUCGGAACAUGGUAUAACGUUAGAGACUGUUUGGUGAACAGUAACUAGUCACAAAUUGAGACUUUACCUCAAAAUGUCUCAAAUAGUGACUAGAGACCAAGAAUGAUAGAGAAAGAGAUUACGCAAUGCGCAUGUUUGCUUUCAGUCAGCUGUUUUUGCUGACGUCACGGUUGACUUAUAUUCGCCUGCGCUUUGAAAAUGAAUUCGAAUUGUGUUUUCAAGUGUUGUAUUAAUUGUGAAAUUUUAAAUUUUUUAAUAUGCGUUGCGCAGUGUUCGGAUGCAAUAAUAAUAAUGGUAAAAGUUGUGCUACGAAAUGGAGAUUUUUCUAUUUCCCUAAAGAUAAAACAGUACUAAAACAAUGUCGUCGUAAAGACAAAAACAAUGUUAAAAAUGCAUGCAUUUGUGAAAUGCACUUCGCGCCAAAAGCGUUCGAAAGAAACUUGCAGUUUGAAAUGGAUAAUUAUAUCAUCUUGAUUACAAUAAUUUUACUUUUAGUUAGUUAGUUCUGCUUUCUCCAGACUGAAUAAGGAAGCAAAGCAAAUGGGUCAGGCAGUGAACGAGGGAAAGUGGGCGUGGCCCCGCCCCCUACUAAGUUUUUUGUACAUAUCUCGGAAACUACUAUAGCUAUGUCAACCAAACUCUAUAGAGUCGUUUCCUUCAGGCAUUUCCAUAUACAGUUCAAAUAUGAAUCGCCCACCUCCCAUGCAAAGGUUAUGUUGAAAAUCACUAAAAGUGCGUUAACCGACUAACAAAAAACGUCAGAAACACUAAAUUUUACGGAAGAAAUGGCAGAAGGAAGCUGCACCCAGGCUUUUUUUAAAAAUUGAAAAUGGGCGUGGUGUCGCCCACUUAUGGACCAAAAACCAUAUCUCAGGAACUACUAAUCUAAUUAAUUUUACAGCAAAAUAAAAAAAUAUGUAAAUGACGGAUAAUGAAAUGUCGAUUAUUACUUUAUCAUGCGAGAGUAUAAAAUGUUCGGUGACACCCGAACUUAGCCCUUCCUUACUUGAUAUUACAUAAGUAUGUGUAUUUCUUAUUAUUUUUUGACAAAGGCUGCAUAGUGUUGUUAGUACUUUGAAAAAGUUCAAAAACGAGCAGUUAGCAAAAAUUAAACACCUCAGGAUUUCCAUUAAAACCGCGGAAUUCCACUGAAAUAAUUUGGAGCAAAAACUUAGCUGCAUUUUCACCAACGGCCAGAUUGAAAAAUUAAGGGAUGGAAACAAACGGCGGAAUUGGAAAGAAGAAGACAUAAAAAUAAGUCGAUCACGUUAUAUUCAACGAGCCCGAAAGCGUACAAACUUCUAAGGAGAAACAACUUUCUUCUACCAGGGGUGCGCACUCUGCAAUGGUGGUUAAAGAAAAUUGACGUAGCUCCAGGUGUCAUAGAGCCGAUUGUAGCUCAAAAGUAAAAGAAUUGUUUUUCAGAGCUAGAAAGUAUUUUAGAAUUCGUUCCUUAAAUAAAAACUUAAUUGAACAUAUGUAUAGCAAAAAAAGAAAAUAAGAAAAUAAAUUGAUACUUGGUUACAAACAUUCAAUCUAUUUAUUUACAUAAAUGUAUAUGGUUGAAACAAACACAGCAAAGAGACAAAAUUAAAUAAUACAAUGAAAAUUCAUUUAAAUAAAUAUGUAGGUAAAUGUUCACUAUAAAAUAAUCACAUAUAUUGAUAUCUUUUAUUAAUAUUCACUAAUAUUGAUGUUAACUUUUGAUGAUAUUCAUGUUUUUGUAUGCCUGCAAUAUAAAAUUGCUUCUUAUUGCAAAGAAAAACAAACAACUGAAAAUCAGCUGAUUGUACGUUCGUCAACCGUGACGUAGAUGCGAAGAAUGAACAAAAUUUGAACUCGUCAUUGCGCAAUCUUUGUUUCUAUCAUUCUUGACUAGAGACUGUUUACAGAAUCGCGCCACAAAUAUUAAGGAUUCUGGUUUAGAAGCCCGAAUUUUAGGUAAUUUUUGACGCAAUAAAAAAAAUAAAAAAUUAUUUUGACGUUCCAUUUUUUUUACAUGCUUUUUAUUGAUAUUCUAAGAAUACAAAACAUAAAUAAAAUAAGAAAAAGAAUUAAAUUUAAAAAAAUUCACCGAAGUAGAGACUGAUGAAACAAUGGCUUGUCCUGGUGUACAGGAUAUAAAUCCUUUCCAUGACCUAAAAUGAAAAUUUAUGCGAAAUGGGUGAAGAGUAAAAGUGUAGUUAUCGCACUACGAAACGUUUUUGAAAAAAAAAUUACAAAAUGGUGAAGGUAUGAAAAAAAAGUUUCGUAUUUUCCGUUUUUUGUGGUUCGGUAUUAAAAAAAAAUUCUUUCGAAAGCUCUUCGUGGUGCGAUACUAUAACGUAUAAGAAAGCUCUGUGUUAAAUUUCAUGUGAAUCGGUUGAGUAGAACUUGAUGCACACCGUUUUUAGAAAAGUAGUUAUGAGAUAAACGAGUUUAAAGUUGUCACGGGCUGCGAAACGGUUUUGUCGGCGCGUCACAAAAUGAGCAGUACCUCGAAAAAUAAUUUGAAUUUCGAAAAAUCCUCUUAGGGACAUUUUCUUGAAGGGGAAAAAAUAGUGUCAAUAUUUAAGGCACUUUUAAAAAAGAAAUUCACUUACAUAAUAAAGCCAACAAUAAAAAACAUUAAAAAUUCAUGGGAAAAACUGUAGAUACAACCACAAAAACUUAGUAUUCUUUAAAAGAAAUUAAAAAAAAAUGAUAAUUUUAUAUCUUUUAGUAUUUGGUCGAGACAUUGAUGCCACCAUAUUCUCCGUUAUAUUGGGUGUUAUUUCGGCCCAAGCACGAAUGAGGCCGGUUUUUAAUGUUUCACGGCUACUUCUUGCCAAUUUUCGUAUUGAUUUUUCCAAAACGUCCCAAAUUUGUUCCAUUGGGCUUAAAUCUGGUGACUGGGGUGGGGAAUUCAGCUGUCUUGGAGCAUAGUAUUGAAGCCAGUGUCGAACAACGUGCGCAGUAUGCUUCGGAUCGUUAACUUGUUGGAAAGUUCAUUGAUUUCCCAAACCCAAGUUAUCGGAUCGUUAUAAUUUAUAACUUUAUGAGUCUAUGUGAAACUUUAGUAAAUAAAAUGGGUUUAUUUGGUUUUCCUUUCAUUUUCAUUUCGAUGUGUUUCGCUAAUUUUGGGGCAUUUAUUUUUAGAUCCUGGUUGAUCUUUAAAGUUUCUUAUGUUCAUCAGACCGAGGCUUAGUCUCGCUACUAUUGGUAUUAUUAUAAUUUCUAAUGAUCGUUUGUACAGUAGCAUGACUUAAUUUCACGGCCUUAGCAAUUUCUUCACACGAUUUGUUUUGUUUUCGAAGAUUUACCUUAAUAUUUCUAACUGUAACUUAUAUUUCUUUUCGAUUAUCCAUUUUCAUUGACCAAGGUAAAAGGAACUCCACUAUAAUUAUCGCUUUGUCCACUUAAAUAAUUGCAUUGUUUGUAAUUUAAAAUAGGGAGAUCAAUGAUAACUGUUAUUAGGCUUUCUUUCCUCUUAAUUUUCUCUUUGAUGUUAAGGGGUUAUAUACCUUCUUUGUCGAAGAAAAAAUGGAAAGUUUGGAUUUUUUAGGUAUAAUUAUUUCAUAACACGAAUGUUUUUAUUUUUUGAUAGUAUACUUUAUUAACCAUGUUUGUGCGAAAUUUCGUGGUAAAAUAUCAAAUCGUUUUUAAGGGGUGGCUGUUUCCCUUAGAGGCCUUUUUUUGAAUGAGCCUUGCGAUGAAAAUUCCCCAGGUCGAACAAGUCAACUGAAACCAUAAAAGUAAACAAAUUUCAUUAGUUUAGUGUAAUUCCUUGUGCUUGAACAAUCGUUUUUAUGAUUUUUUUUUGUGCACACGGGAACGUUUUAUGCAAAAAAUUAACUUUUUGGUCACUAGAAAUUUCGCUAAAAAAUUCAUUACGGCCAAAAAAGUUUGAAUAAAAUCGCUUCAGUAGUUUUCCGCCAAUCCAUGGCACCGCAAAGUCAUUUUUCAAAAAGCACCAUUUGGAGAUAUUCGCGUUUAAAGCGAAACCGCUCGGGUUUGGGGCCGUGACGAGGCGCGCGGUUAGAAGUGCUGUAACUUUUUUUUACUGCUCGAAUCUCUAUGAAAAUUUGAAAAAAUGUUCUCAAGGACUUGUUCUUUAAGAUAAAGCAAUAAGAGCUGCCAUGCUGCUGCAUUUCUCGCUUAUUAUUAUGUUUUAACAUAUUUUUUUUUCCUACAAAUAAUAUUUGUUAUUAGUGCCUUAAAUGUUGAUAUAAUUCUUUUUUCAAAUAUCGCUCCUAAUUUUGUGGUACAUCAAAAUUGAGGAGUGCAUUUAGACUUUUUUUCUUGACUGUAUAUAAUAGGGGUAUUCGCUUGCUCUUGCAAGAUUGCAGAUUGCAAAAAUACUAUACCGAAAUAUACAUUGGCACGAGAGCACCCAUUGCAGAAUUUAAUGAUAUAUGAACGGCUGAUUCGGCCAAUGUACAAAACAAAUUGCGAAAGAUUAACGAAUCUAUUUUUUAAAAGUGCCACAAAUUUCUGAGAAACAAAAAACUCGUUAAUUUUACAAUUGAAGAAGCUGCUUCUAAUAUAUUACUACAUUUGAAUGGUAAUUGCUUAUUUCACUUUUUCAAACUUAAAAAAUCAAAAAUUUGAACUUUUUAGACGACGUUAGCUAUUGGAAAGCUAUGGAUGAAUUGUAUGAUACAAUUAUCUUAUCGAACCAUUGCGGAAAUUAUCAAAAUGUGCCUAAGUGUUUGAAAUGGAGGACUAACGUUAAGUCUCAAGAGAUUAAUUUACUAUUGUCCUUGAUCAAAGACAGUGCACCAUUUAACAACGCUCAAUCCAUUAGGCAAUUUUCAGUAGAACUACAGUUAGCUAUAACCUUAUAUCGUUUGGGUUCAUCGGGUGAAAGUGCGGCGAUUCGGAAAGUAGCUACACUGUUUGGUGUAGGAGAUGGUGAAACGCUUUACAAGAUUACAAAGAGAGUAUUUUCAUCAAUUUUGGAGUUAAAAUCUAGAUAUAUCACUUAGCCUGAUACCAAUGAAAGACAAGGGGGCUUACUCUUGGCUUGGGGAGUAAUUGAAGUAAAACUUCUUUAGGCGCGCUUGGCUUGGGGAGUAAGCUGACGAACGCGUGACGAAAAGUGUGAUCAGGCGAACGUGUAACGAAAAGUGUGAUCAGGCGAGGCGAACGGUAAUUGGCUUGGGGAGUAAGCUGACGAUCGCGCAACGAAAAGUGUGAUCAGGCGAAGCGAACGCAGAGAACGUAUAAUAUAGAGAAGGCUCACCGCGUUGCCAAAUUUACAACAUUGCAUUUAACAUAUGUACAUAUUAAAAGACCAAGCGGUCGCGCAUAUUCACGUACAUACAUAUGUAAUUAUGUGUGCAUGUAAACAAAUUUGCAAGAACCAGAGAACUUAAAAGUAUAGACAGAGAACAUAAAAUUUGUUAACAUUGUAUGUAAGGUCGGAAUUCGCCUCGCAAUUUUAACAUUGUUUACAAUUCUCUCACAUAUUCUAACCGAGAAUAUGAAGUGACAGAAAUAUAUGUAUUUACGGCAUAUGAUGACAAGGCAUUUAUGCCGAAGAAGAGAAUAUGAAGAGACUCCCAACGAAGAAUUUCGUUUUGCUUGUUUAUAUUUUGUUUCAUUUUGACACCGAAAAUGUGUACAAAAUACAUUAUGUUCUCUGUCUCACAUACGCAAGAAUAUGAAGAGACAUAAAUAUAUGUAUGCAUGAAUAUGAAUAUGAAGACAUAAACACAUGCA